CCAUUUGUUAUGGUGUAUUGUUUCCUUAGCUUAGGCUAUCUAUGGAAGUUGAAGCUAUACCAGAUAGAAAUAUUAUACUAUUUAUGUAAAUAAGAUAUAACUAUAGCUAGACUCUCGGUUUAAAAAAGUGCCAGCAAACGCGGUCAUACUUUUCGAGGUGGAAACUUUAUGUAUAAGAGUGAGAAUUAAUAAAUGGCAGACUCUUCGUGGUGAAAUAUAACAAAACAUCGAAUCCAUUUGAAAGUAACAAAAUGUAGAUCCUAAACAAGGAUUAGAUACCCUUUUAUACUACACUCACUAAACUCUUAGAGCACUAUAAUCGACUUGAUUAAAACUCAAAUAACAUGGCGGUAAUUUUAAUAGUUAGGGGAACUUAUCCGGUAAGUGAUAACCACCAAGGUUAAUUUACUUUAUAUAAUAUCUUAUAUGCCGUCGUCGACAGAUAUUACUAAAUGUAAUAUCAAAACAUAGCUAAUUAAAGGACAGAUCCAGGUGUAGACUAUUAUAAAGACGAGACGAGUUACAAUUAUAUUAUAGCGGAAAAGGCCAAUAAUUUGGCUCCAGAAGAGGGACUUAAAUGUAAUAUAUAUAAAGUAUAAUAUAUGGAUAUACAUAAAAUUAUGUACAAAUCGCCCGUCACUCUAGGGAAAACCUUAGACAAGUCGUAACAUAGUAGGGGUAGCGGAAGCUGCCCCU
rnacentral:ncRNA from 1 species